rnacentral:rRNA from 1 species
AAUAGGUACUCGUUAAGUGGUUUAAAUUGUACUCAUUCCAAUUGCAGAACCUUUGGCUCCGCAUUGUUAUUUCUUGUCACUACCUCCCUGAGUUGGGAUUGGGUAAUUUGCGCGCCUGCUGCCUUCCUUGGAUGUGGUCGCCAUUUCUCAGGCGCCCUCUCCGGAAUCGAACCCUAAUCCUCCGCUACCCGUUAUCGGCACUGUAAUCCAAUACAUUACAGUCGAAACCAUGAUGGGGCAGAAACUUGAAUGACACGUCGCCGGCACAAGGCCGUGCAAUCCGUGAAGUUACCAUGAUUCAGCUCAGAUCGGGCAAGCCCGGUCGGCCUUUUAUCUAAUAAAUACGUCCCUUCCUAGAGUCGGGAUUUCCGCACGUAUUAGCUCUAGCGUUACUACGGUUAUCCGAGUAGUCAGCACCAUCAAAUAAACUAUAACUGAUUUACCGAGCCAUUCGCAGUUUUCCGGUAUAAUCGGUUAUACCUACACAUGCAUGGCUUAAUCUUUGAGACAAGCAUAUCACGA